rnacentral:rRNA from 1 species
GUAGGUGGCAAGCGUUGUCCGGAAUUAUUGGGGCGUAAAGCGCGCGCAGGCGGUUUUUUAAGUCUGAUGUGAAAGCCCACGGGCUCAACCGUGGAGGGUCAUUGGAGACUGGAGAACUUGAGUACAGAAGAGGAAAGCGGAAUUCCACGUGUAGCGGUGAAAUGCGUAGAGAUGUGGAGGAACACCAGUGGCGAAGGCGGCUUUCUGGUCUGUAACUGACGCUGAGGCGCGAAAGCGUGGGGAGCAAACAGGAUUAGAUACCCUGGUAGUCCACGCCGUAAACGAUGAGUGCUAAGUGUUAGGGGGUUUCCGCCCCUUAGUGCUGCAGCUAACGCAUUAAGCACUCCGCCUGGGGAGUACGGCCGCAAAGGCUG